GCUUGCUCAUAACGGUUAGGCGCCUGCCUUUUCUUCUUCUUAUUCUUCACUCGAGAAUCAUUGCUUGUAUGGCCUUGGCUUCUUGCACUGGGAAAGUGGCAGGCAUCUGCAACGUCCAACUGUGGCAAGCAGGUUGUGUACAAAGUGUGCCUUGUACUUUUUACUCUUUUGGUCCUGGUCAGAACUGAUGGUGGUUCCUCUCUCCUUGUUUCCGUUCAUGUAUGAUUUCAGGACAACAAAGAAUGGUGACAUGGAGAUUACUCGUCUAAUAUAUUUUGGGAAGAAGUAUUUGCAUUGGAUGGUCUUGACAACAUUUGGAUACAUGACUUAUACAUUCCCUUGCUCCUGUUGCGGUGUACUCGAUUUGCUCAUCAAACUAUCUUGCAAGAACCUGCUGCGUUACUGGUGAAACACAUUGAUGAAAUACAUCGCCCCAAUUCUGAGAUGCAUGAGCGUGUCAUUGGACUACCAUGGUGAGCAGGCAAAGAGUGUAAUGAUAGUCUUGGGAGGGAGAGGGGGCAGAACUAGGUGUGGAUUUUCAAGUAGUAAUCAAUCUUGGGCCAUUCAUGCAGUUGCUUCGAUUGUACCAUGCCUGACAAAUUUAGAGUAAAUAAUCUUGGGUUGGAA